AACCCAUGGUGAGGACACCUUCUCAAUAGAUCCUUGUAUCUCUCCCAUACAUCAUCAAGUGUUUCUAAAUCCAUCUACACAAAAGAAGAGAUAUAAUUCCUUAAUUU
rnacentral:snoRNA from 1 species